rnacentral:tRNA from 1 species
GCCCGAGUGGUGGAAUGGCAGACACGCGGGACUCAAAAUCCCGUGGGGAUAAUACCCCGUGUGGGUUCGACUCCCACCUCGGGCA